rnacentral:rRNA from 1 species
GACGAACGCUGGCGGCGUGCUUAACACAUGCAAGUCGAACGAUGAACCACUUCGGUGGGGAUUAGUGGCGAACGGGUGAGUAACACGUGGGCAAUCUGCCCUGCACUCUGGGACAAGCCCUGGAAACGGGGUCUAAUACCGGAUAACACUCCUUCAGGCAUCUGGAGGGGUUGAAAGCUCCGGCGGUGCAGGAUGAGCCCGCGGCCUAUCAGCUUGUUGGUGAGGUAGUGGCNCACCAAGGCGACGACGGGUAGCCGGCCUGAGAGGGCGACCGGCCACACUGGGACUGAGACACGGCCCAGACUCCUACGGGAGGCAGCAGUGGGGAAUAUUGCACAAUGGGCGAAAGCCUGAUGCAGCGACGCCGCGUGAGGGAUGAC